AUGAAGCCGGCGGUUGAAGGCGACGAGCGUGCGGCGGAGAUCGCCCGCAUCAAGGCUGCCGCGGCCGCCGCCAAAAAGGCGGCGGACGAGGUGGUGGAUGUGGACGACGAGGUAGAUGAAGAGGAGGCGGUUGACGGCGACGACGACGACGACGAUGACGACGAAGUCGACGACGAUGGGGAAGAGGACGAGGACGAGGGGGUGGAGGGUGAGGAAAAGGGGUCGGCGGCGCAGCAGGUGGUCGACAUCUCCGACGAGGACGACGACGACGACGAUGACGAGGAGGAGGAGGACGAAGUCGACGAGGAGGAAGAGCCCGAGGAGGAGCUAGGAACUGAAUAUCUAGUGCAGCCGCUUGGCCGUGCUGAAGAUGAAGAGCAUUCCAGUGACUUUGAGCCGGAAGAAAAUGGUGAUGGUGCUGAGGAUGAGGAGAUUGAGGAUGAUGAUGCUGAGGAUGGUGAGGAUUCUGUCAAGCCGCAAUCCUCAUCGAAGAGGAAGAGGUCUGGUGGGGAGGAUGAAGAUGAUGAUGACGGUGAUGAUGAUGGUGAUGAUGAUGAGAAGCCUCCAUCAAAGCGAUAG
rnacentral:rRNA from 1 species